UAUCCAUGUCAGUGUUUGCACAGAUGAGUAUCACCAGAGUUACUCCAGGACACAAGGAGACAGCAGCCCACUGGGACAGCACAUAGCCCAGAGGGCUCCCUGAGGGACAUGGGAGGGAUGCUGUGGACUGGGGUCAGACCUUCCCCAUGUACAGCCCCUAGAUAUGUCCUGAGGUGGGAAGGAGAGGAGAAUCCUCAGAGGUGGAGCAGGUGUGUGAUGGUGGACACAGGCCUUGAGAAGACGCUGGGCACCCUGGGGCAGGAAGAAGUGGCCAGGAGCAGAUGAAGAACACUGCUGGAUUUACUGCUGCUGCCUGCCAUUCCUGUCCUGGACCUGUGCCCCUUGACACCUGAAGCCAUCAGCCUAUCAUUUCCUGCCAUCCUGCACCUGUGGCCCUGAGCACCUGGAGCCAUUAGCCAGUCCCUCCUUCCUAUUCCCUUCCUGCACCUGUGGCCUUCCACACCUGCAGCUGAGCAGCUGAUUGGUUAGCAGAGCACUUUCUUUUCCACUCUCUGGCCGAUAACGCCCUUCCUGUUCUCCAAUGCUAGAGUCUGAGAUAUUGAUUUUAAUGUGAGAUGAACCUCCAAGGAAAUCUGGAGAAAAGUGAUCUCUAAGCCUUAAUCAGCACAUGAAUGGGAGUGAAGCUCUGUUGCAGGAGAAAGUACCAUUGAUGGUUGGUCCUGUCUAGGGGCUAAGGAACUAUCCUUGAGGCUACAGAUCCCUUCAGGGCUCUUGCUCACCACACGUCCCUGCAAUUCUGAGGAGGUGCCAACACGUGGAAUAGUGUGCCAAUCAUCUGGCCAGAACUCUGGGUGGAUUCAGGAUCCCCAAACAUGUCCAGGUCCUGACCCCUGGCUUCUGAGAACAGGACUUCAUCUGGAAACGCCUUUGCAGAAUUAAUGAAGGCAGGAACCUCAACAAGAGAUGAUGCAUUGAGGCCUCAGAUAAAUAAAGGAAAUGGAAAUAGUGUGGAUCUGCAGUAUCUUCUGCAAGAACCUGGGCUGUCUGUGUUUCAGCUAACACCAAGAGAAUGUCUAUUCCCUGGACUGGAGUAAAGGGUGCUGAGGAUGAGGACUCUCACUUGCUGCCUGGAUCUCUGUUUUCAAUUACUGUACCUACCAUGGAUGUGCUGAUGUCCUGUCUCAAUAAAAGUAAGAGUCAUGAAGUAAAAAGGCAAAACCCAUGUAAAAUAAGAAUGA